rnacentral:rRNA from 1 species
AGAGUUUGAUCAUGGCUCAGGAUGAACGCUAGCGGCAGGCUUAACACAUGCAAGUCGAGGGGGCAGCAUAAUGGAUAGCAAUAUCUAUGGUGGCGACCGGCGCACGGGUGCGUAACGCGUAUGCAACCUACCUUUAACAGGGGGAUAACACUGAGAAAUUGGUACUAAUACCCCAUAAUAUCAUAGAAGGCAUCUUUUAUGGUUGAAAAUUCCGAUGGUUAGAGAUGGGGCAUGCGUUGUAUUAGCUAGUUGGUGGGGUAACGCUCACCAGGCGACGAUACAGUAGGGGGACUGAGACGGUUAACCCCCACACUGGUACUGAGACACGGACCAGACUCCGUACGGGAGGCGA